rnacentral:rRNA from 1 species
AACGUAGGAGACAAACGUUAUCCGGAGUUACUGGGCGUAAAGGGCGCGUAGGCGGCCUCUGCAAGUCGACUGUGAAAUCUCCGGGCUUAACCCGGAAAGGUCAGCCGAUACUGCAGGGCUAGAGUGCAGAAGGGGCAACUGGAAUUCUCGGUGUAGCGGUGAAAUGCGUAGAUAUCGAGAGGAACACCUGCGGCGAAGGCGGGUUGCUGGGCUGACACUGACGCUGAGGCGCGAAAGCUAGGGGAGCGAACGGG